rnacentral:rRNA from 1 species
AGUCGAGCGGUAACAGGAAUUAGCUUGCUAAUUUGCUGACGAGCGGCGGACGGGUGAGUAACGCGUAGGAAUCUGCCUGGUAGUGGGGGACAACAUGUGGAAACGCAUGCUAAUACCGCAUACGCCCUACGGGGGAAAGGAGGGGAUCUUCGGACCUUUCGCUAUCAGAUGAGCCUGCGUGAGAUUAGCUAGUUGGUGGGGUAAAGGCUCACCAAGGCGACGAUCUCUAGCUGGUCUGAGAGGAUGAUCAGCCACACUGGGACUGAGACACGGCCCAGACUCCUACGGGAGGCAGCAGUGGGGAAUAUUGGACAAUGGGCGCAAGCCUGAUGCAGCCAUGCCGCGUGUGUGAAGAAGGCCUUCGGGUUGUAAAGCACUUUCAGUAAGGAGGAAAGGUUAGUCACUAAUAUUGGCUAGCUGUGACGUUACUUACAGAAGAAGCACCGGCUAACUCCGUGCCAGCAGCCGCGGUAAUACGGAGGGUGCGAGCGUUAAUCGGAAUUACUGGGCGUAAAGCGUACGCAGGCGGUUUGUUAAGCGAGAUGUGAAAGCCCCGGGCUCAACCUGGGAACUGCAUUUCGAACUGGCAAACUAGAGUGUGAUAGAGGGUGGUAGAAUUUCAGGUGUAGCGGUGAAAUGCGUAGAGAUCUGAAGGAAUACCGAU